rnacentral:rRNA from 1 species
UACGUAGGGUGCGAGCGUUAAUCGGAAUUACUGGGCGUAAAGCGUGCGCAGGCGGUUUUGUAAGCCAGAUGUGAAAUCCCCGGGCCUAACCUGGGAACUGCAUUUGUGACUGCAUAGCUAGAGUCCGUCAGAGGGGGGUGGAAUUCCACGUGUAGCAGUGAAAUGCGUAGAGAUGUGGAGGAACACCGAUGGCGAAGGCAGCCCCCUGGGAUGAGACUGACGCUCAUGUACGAAAGCGUGGGGAGCAAACAGG